GACGAACCGUACGAACGUUAUUCGGAAUCACUGGGCUUAAAGGGUGCGUAGGCUGCGCAGCAAGUUGGGUGUGAAAUCCCUCGGCUUAACCGAGGAACUGCGCCCAAAACUGCUGUGCUCGAGGGAGAUAGAGGUGAGCGGAACUUAGGGUGGAGCGGUGAAAUGCGUUGAUAUCCUAAGGAACACCGGUGGCGAACGCGGCUCACUGGAUCUCUUCUGACGCUGAGGCACGAAAGCUAGGGUAGCGAACGGG
rnacentral:rRNA from 1 species